rnacentral:rRNA from 1 species
AGUUUUAAGUGAAGAGUUUGAUCCUGGCUCAGAGUGAACGCUGGCGGUAGGCCUAACACAUGCAAGUCGAACGGCAGCACAGGAGAGCUUGCUCUCUGGGUGGCGAGUGGCGGACGGGUGAGGAAUACAUCGGAAUCUACCUUUUCGUGGGGGAUAACGUAGGGAAACUUACGCUAAUACCGCAUACGACCUACGGGUGAAAGUGGGGGACCGCAAGGCCUCACGCGAUUAGAUGAGCCGAUGUCCGAUUAGCUAGUUGGCGGGGUAAUGGCCCACCAAGGCGACGAUCGGUAGCUGGUCUGAGAGGAUGAUCAGCCACACUGGAACUGAGACACGGUCCAGACUCCUACGGG